UACGUAGGGUGCGAGCGUUAAUCGGAAUUACUGGGCGUAAAGCGUGCGCAGGCGGUUUGCUAAGACCGAUGUGAAAUCCCCGGGCUCAACCUGGGAACUGCAUUGGUGACUGGCAGGCUAGAGUAUGGCAGAGGGGGGUAGAAUUCCACGUGUAGCAGUGAAAUGCGUAGAGAUGUGGAGGAAUACCGAUGGCGAAGGCAGCCCCCCUGGGCCAAUACUGACGCUCAUGCACGAAAGCGUGGGGGGAGCAAACAGGAUUAGAUACCCUGGUAGUCCACGCCCUAAACGAUGUCAACUAGUUGUUGGGGAUUCAUUUCCUUAGUAACGUAGCUAACGCGUGAAGUUGACCGCCUGGGGAGUACGGUCGCAAGAUUAAAACUC
rnacentral:rRNA from 1 species